GACGAACGCUGGCGGCGUGCUUAACACAUGCAAGUCGAACGGAAAGGCCCUGCUUUUGUGGGGUGCUCGAGUGGCGAACGGGUGAGUAACACGUGAGUAACCUGCCCUUGACUUUGGGAUAACUUCAGGAAACUGGGGCUAAUACCGGAUAGGAGCUCCUGCUGCAUGGUGGGGGUUGGAAAGUUUCGGCGGUUGGGGAUGGACUCGCGGCUUAUCAGCUUGUUGGUGGGGUAGUGGCUUACCAAGGCUUUGACGGGUAGCCGGCCUGAGAGGGUGACCGGCCACAUUGGGACUGAGAUACGGCCCAGACUCCUACGGGAGGCAGCAGUGGGGAAUAUUGCACAAUGGGCGGAAGCCUGAUGCAGCAACGCCGCGUGCGGGAUGACGGCCUUCGGGUUGUAAACCGCUUUCGCCUGUGACGAAGCGUGAGUGACGGUAAUGGGUAAAGAAGCACCGGCUAACUACGUGCCAGCAGCCGCGGUGAUACGUAGGGUGCGAGCGUUGUCCGGAUUUAUUGGGCGUAAAGGGCUCGUAGGUGGUUGAUCGCGUCGGAAGUGUAAUCUUGGGGCUUAACCCUGAGCGUGCUUUCGAUACGGGUUGACUUGAGGAAGGUAGGGGAGAAUGGAAUUCCUGGUGGAGCGGUGGAAUGCGCAGAUAUCAGGAGGAACACCAGUGGCGAAGGCGGUUCUCUGGGCCUUUCCUGACGCUGAGGAGCGAAAGCGUGGGGAGCGAACAGGCUUAGAUACCCUGGUAGUCCACGCUGUAAACGGUGGGUACUAGGUGUGGGGUCCAUUCCACGGGUUCCGUGCCGUAGCUAACGCUUUAAGUACCCCGCCUGGGGAGUACGGCCGCAAGGCUAAAACUCAAAGGAAUUGACGGGGCCCCGCACAAGCGGCGGAGCAUGCGGAUUAAUUCGAUGCAACGCGUAGAACCUUACCUGGGUUUGACAUGGAUCGGGAGUGCUCAGAGAUGGGUGUGCCUCUUUUGGGGUCGGUUCACAGGUGGUGCAUGGCUGUCGUCAGCUCGUGUCGUGAGAUGUUGGGUUAAGUCCCGCAACGAGCGCAACCCUUGUUCACUGUUGCCAGCACGUUAUGGUGGGGACUCAGUGGGGACCGCCGGGGUCAACUCGGAGGAAGGUGGGGAUGACGUCAAGUCAUCAUGCCCCUUAUGUCCAGGGCUUCACGCAUGCUACAAUGGCUGGUACAGAGAGUGGCGAGCCUGUGAGGGUGAGCGAAUCUCGGAAAGCCGGUCUCAGUUCGGAUUGGGGUCUGCAACUCGAUCUCAUGAAGUCGGAGUCGCUAGUAAUCGCAGAUCAGCAACGCUGCGGUGAAUACGUUCCCGGGGCU
rnacentral:rRNA from 1 species